UGCAGUCGAACGAAGGCUUCGGCCUUAGUGGCGCACGGGUGCGUAACGCGUGGGAAUCUGCCCUUGGGUUCGGAAUAACAGCGAGAAAUUGCUGCUAAUACCGGAUGAUGUCGCGAGACCAAAGAUUUAUCGCCUGAGGAUGAGCCCGCGUUGGAUUAGGUAGUUGGUGGGGUAAAGGCCUACCAAGCCGACGAUCCAUAGCUGGUCUGAGAGGAUGAUCAGCCACACUGGGACUGAGACACGGCCCAGACUCCUACGGGAGGCAGCAGUGGGGAAUAUUGGACAAUGGGCGAAAGCCUGAUCCAGCAAUGCCGCGUGAGUGAUGAAGGCCUUAGGGUUGUAAAGCUCUUUUACCCGGGAUGAUAAUGACAGUACCGGGAGAAUAAGCUCCGGCUAACUCCGUGCCAGCAGCCGCGGUAAUACGGAGGGAGCUAGCGUUGUUCGGAAUUACUGGGCGUAAAGCGCACGUAGGCGGCUUUGUAAGUCAGGGGUGAAAGCCUGGAGCUCAACUCCAGAACUGCCUUUGAGACUGCAUCGCUUGAAUCCGGGAGAGGUGAGUGGAAUUCCGAGUGUAGAGGUGAAAUUCGUAGAUAUUCGGAAGAACACCAGUGGCGAAGGCGGCUCACUGGA
rnacentral:rRNA from 1 species